CCACUUGUGGCUUCAUCCGUCCUGCAGCCGAACAAAAGGCAAAGUGGCUUUUCAUUGUAUGAGGUUCUCCAUUAGCCCCAAAUCCUCCCUCUCACCCUGCUCUCAGAGAAACGUGCACGCCGUUAAAGUGUGCACGGCAGCCUGACGCUCUGCAGGAAUGUAGUGUUUGACUGUUUGUCCAAACACACAAACAGGUGAAGCUUCUCCACCUGGCAGACGAAGCUCCUGGACUGUAAACGGCUGAUUGAUCUAUUAUUAGGAGCCGUCGCUCGCUGCAUCAAAUAUUCAUUCCUCCCCAGAGCUGCAGUCGUAAAGCUCUUCAUCAAACCCUGACUGAAGGUUCCGUCUGUUCCAGUUUUCCAGCCUCCCGGCCAGCCGUCCAUUCACCCCCAGUUGGUGCAAACAGCUGAUGACAGCAGGGGUGUGUUGCCUGGUGAAGGUGGGUGUUUGACCUCCUUGACCUACAGGAUGGUAGCCAUUAUGAAGUUCAUGGUGAAAGCACCGGUGAUGGCGAGGCCUCAGCUUCAGCAGCCACAAACCAACCUCCAGUAAGGUUUGCCUUUCAUCACCCAUCAAGUGCUUCAUCUGGUGCCACUGCAGGUCCUCAGACUCCAACAGCCAGUGGGCUAAAGAUGUUGCAGAGGAAUGUCUGUAGCAGAGAUAGUUGAUGGGGUCCUGGAAACUCAAAAGACAGUCAUCAUAUAAUUCUCUGAAUUCAAGUGUUCAGCUCCCAGCAUCAAGGCCAAAGUUGCUGAUGCUCUUGGACAAGAUGAGCCCAUUGUACUUAUUGACAGUCACCACAAUGAAAUAAAGGACUGUGAAGGAACAAGAGGACCUGCUGUCUGGAAGCUGCAUGCAAGGAAAAUAUUUGCUGUUCCAGAAGGACAACUACAUAGACUAAGGAGGAAUAAAAGGAG